rnacentral:rRNA from 1 species
AUUGAACGCUGGCGGCAUGCCUUACACAUGCAAGUCGAACGGCAGCACGGGAGCAAUCCUGGUGGCGAGUGGCGAACGGGUGAGUAAUAUAUCGGAACGUGCCCGGUCGUGGGGGAUAACGUAGCGAAAGCUACGCUAAUACCGCAUACGAUCUACGGAUGAAAGCGGGGGGAUCGCAAGACCUCGCGCGAUUGGAGCGGCCGAUAUCAGAUUAGGUAGUUGGUGAGGUAAAGGCUCACCAAGCCGACGAUCUGUAGCUGGUCUGAGAGGACGACCAGCCACACUGGGACUGAGACACGGCCCAGACUCCUACGGGAGGCAGCAGUGGGGAAUUUUGGACAAUGGGCGCAAGCCUGAUCCAGCAAUGCCGCGUGCAGGAUGAAGGCCUCGGUUGUAACUAGUCUUUGUUACGGUAACGGAAACGGUACGAG